rnacentral:rRNA from 1 species
AUUGAACGCUGGCGGCAGGCCUAACACAUGCAAGUCGAGCGAGCGUCGGGCGGGGGAGUACUGUCUGGGAAACUGCCGGAUGGAGGGGGAUAACUAAUGGAAACGGUAGCUAAUACCGCAAACACUCAGAUGUGCCCAGAGUGGAUUAGCUAGUAGGUGGGGUAAUGGCUCACCUAGGGGACGAUCCCUAGCUGGUUGGAGAGGAUGAACAGCCACAUUGGAACUGAGACACGGUCCAGAUGCCUACGAGAGGGAGCAGGAGGGAAUAUGGCACAAGGGGCGCAAGCCUGAUGCAGCCAUGCCGCGUGCGUGAAGAAGGCCUUCGGGUCGUAAAGCACGAUCAUCGGGGAGGCGGUACCUGAAGAAGAAGCACCGGCUAACUCCGUGCCAGCAGCCGCGGUAAUAG